UACGGGGGGAGCAAGCGUUGUUCGGAUUUACUGGGCGUAAAGGGCGCGUAGGCGGCCUCUGCAAGUCGACUGUGAAAUCUCCGGGCUUAACCCGGAAAGGUCAGCCGAUACUGCAGGGCUAGAGUGCAGAAGGGGCAACUGGAAUUCUCGGUGUAGCAGUGAAAUGCGUAGAGAUGCGGAGGAACACCGAUGGCGAAGGCAGCCCCCUGGGCUGACACUGACGCUCAGGCACGAAAGCGUGGGGAGCAAACAGG
rnacentral:rRNA from 1 species